GGCGAACGCUGGCGGCGUGCUUAACACAUGCAAGUCGAACGGAAAGGCCUGCUUUCCCUUGUGGAUUGCGGGUACUCGAGUGGCGAACGGGUGAGUAACACGUGAGUGAUCUGCCCCCAACUUGGGUAUAAGCCUGGGAAACUGGGUCUAAUUCCCGAUAGGACUGCAGGGUGGUGCCUGUGGUGGAAAACGAUUUUCUAGUGGUUGGGGAUGAGCUCGCGGCCUAUCAGCUUGUUGGUGGGGUAAUGGCCUACCAAGGCGGCGACGGGUAGCCGGCCUGGGAGGGUGGACGGCCACAUUGGGACUGAGAUACGGCCCAGACUCCUACGGGAGGCAGCAGUGGGGAAUAUUGCACAAUGGGCGGAAGCCUGAUGCAGCGACGCCGCGUGGGGGAUGACGGCCUUCGGGUUGUAAACUCCUUUCGACCGCGAGGAAGCCACCUGGUUGGAAGGGUGGUGACGGUAGUGGUAGAAGAAGCACCGGCUAACUACGUG
rnacentral:rRNA from 1 species